GGAAGGAAGGAAGGGAGGGAGGGAGAGAGGAAGGAAAAUGAUAGCAUUCCUUUCUUUUCUCUCUGCCACACCAACCUGAAUAGGCUACCCCUGAGGCACUAUUCAAAAUAUCACCAAGAGUGUCCUGAAGUGCAGCAUAUACCAUGAAAGCCUGCAACCUGGACUAUAAGAUAAGUUAGUAGGCAAGAGUAUGAAUUAAUGAAAGAAUAAAAACAGUGGGCCUAGUCUAGAUUGACAAAGUGCCAGCUGUUUCAAUAAACCACAGUUUUGGCUGAAAUGGAGAAGAGGCAGGAGAUAGAAACAGGAGGAAAGGAAGCAACAUCAGCAUGCCACCGUCAUGAACAAUCCACCAUAUAUCUAUGUUGCCCUCACUAAAACGUUCCUGAUUCAUUGGAAACAAGUCUAUGUUUUUAGCAACUAGUAGAGCUUGCUGUGCAGCUGUUGUUUCUCGUACAGUGUC